AAUGAACGCUGGCGGCAGGCCUAAAACAUGCAAGCCGAACGGUAACAGGUCUUCGGAUGCUGACGAGUGGCGCACGGGUGAGUAACACGUGGGAAUAUGCCUUUUGGUACGGAACAGCAGUUGGAAACGACUGCUAAUACCGUAUGGUCCCUUCGGGGUAAAGAUUUAUCGCCAAAAGAUUAGCCCGCGUUGGAUUAGCUAGUUGGUAGGGUAAUGGCCUACCAAGGCUACGAUCUAUAGCUGGUCUGAGAGGAUGAUCAGCCACACUGGAACUGAGACACGGUCCAGACUCCUACGGGAGGCAGCAGUUAGGAAUAUUGGACAAUGGGCGCAAGCCUGAUCCAGCCAUGCCGCGUGAGUGAUGAAGGCCUUCGGGUUGUAAAGCUCUUUAGCCGACGAAUGUAAUGACUGUAGUCGGAAAAUAAGCCCCGGCUAACUUCGUGCCAGCAGCCGCCGUAA
rnacentral:rRNA from 1 species